CCUACGGGAGGCAGCAGUGAGGAAUAUUGGACAAUGGGCGCGAGCCUGAACCAGCCAAGUCGCGUGAGGGAAGACGGUCCUAUGGAUUGUAAGCCUCUUUGGUCGGGGAGAAGAAGACGCCACGCGUAGCGUUCAGAGAGUACCCGAAGAAAAAGCAUCGGCUAACUCGGUGCCAGCGGCCGCGGUAAUACGGAGGAUGCGAGCGGUAUCGGGAUUGAUUGGGGUUAGAGGGGGCGCAGGGGGAAGAUCAAGUCAGCGGUAAAAUUGAGAGGCUCAACCUCUUCGAGCCGUUGAAACUGGUUGUCUUGAGUGAGGGAGAGGUAGGCGGAAUGCGUGGUGUAGCGGUGAAAUGCAUAGAUAUCACGCAGAACUCCGAUGGCGAAGGCAGCCUACCGGCGCUCAACUGACGCUGAUGCACGAAAGUGUGGGUAGCGAACAGGAUUAGAUACCCUUGUAGUC
rnacentral:rRNA from 1 species